rnacentral:rRNA from 1 species
GGAUUGCCCCAGUAACGGCGAGUGAAGCGGCAACAGCUCAAAUUUGAAAUCUGGCGCAAGCCCGAGUUGUAAUUUGUAGAGGGUGCCUCGGGUGCGGUCCGGCCUAAGUUCCCUGGAACGGGACGUCAUAGAGGGUGAGAAUCCCGUAUGCGGCCGGGUGCCAACCCCGUGUGAGGCCCCUUCGACGAGUCGAGUUGUUUGGGAAUGCAGCUCUAAAUGGGAGGUAAAUUUCUUCUAAAGCUAAAUACCGGCCAGAGACCGAUAGCGCACAAGUAGAGUGAUCGAAAGAUGAAAAGCACUUUGGAAAGAGAGUUAAAAAGUACGUGAAAUUGUUGAAAGGGAAGCGCUUACGACCAGACUCGGCCGCGGGGGAUCGCCCCCCGCGGCCGGGCCAGCAUCGGUUCGGGCGGCCGGAGAAAGGCCCCGGGAACGUAGCACCCUCCGGGGUGUGUUAUAGCCCGGGGUGCAAUGCGGCCCGCCCGGACCGAGGACCGCGUUCGCUAGGAUGCUGGCGUAAUGGUUGUCAGCGGCCCGUCUUGAAACACGGACCAAGGAGUCUAACAUCUGUGCGAGUCUUAGGGUGUCAAACCCUCGGGCGCAAUGAAAGUGAACGGAGGUGGGAACCGCAAGGUGCACCAUCGACCGAUCCGGAAGUCUUCGGAUGGAUUUGAGUAAGAGCAUAGCUGUUGGGACCCGAAAGAUGGUGAACUAUGCGUGAAUAGGGUGAAGCCAGAGGAAACUCUGGUGGAGGCUCGCAGCGGUUCUGACGUGCAAAUCGAUCGUCAAAUUUGCGCAUAGGGGCGAAAGAC